CCUGCCGGACCUGACUGCUAUCGGAUUGAUACUAAGCCAUGCGAGUCUUUGUAGUAAUACAAGGCAGACGGCUCAGUAACACGUAGUCAACCUACCCUAUGGACAAGAAUAAUCUCGGGAAACUGGGCAUAAUUCUUGAUAGAUCAUAAUGCCUGGAAUGGUUUAUGGUUAAAAUGAUUCGUCGCCAUAGGAUGGGACUGCGGCCUAUCAGCUUGUUGGUGAGGUAAUGGCCCACCAAGGCGAUUACAGGUACGGGCUCUGAGAGGAGAAGCCCGGAGAUGGGUACUGAGACACGGACCCAGGCCCUAUGGGGCGCAGCAGGCGAGAAAACUUUGCAAUGUGCGAAAGCACGACAAGGUUAAUCCGAGUGAUUUCUGCUAAAGAAAUCUUUUGCCAGUCAUAAAACCACUGGUGAAUAAGGGGUGGGCAAGUUCUGGUGUCAGCCGCCGCGGUAAAACCAGCACCUCAAGUGGUCAGGAUGAUUAUUGGGCCUAAAGCAUCCGUAGCCUGCUCUGUAAGUUUUCGGUUAAAUCUGUAUGCUCAACAUACAGGCCGCCGGAAAUACUGCAGGGCUAGGGAGUGGGAGAGGUAGACGGUACUCGGGAGGAAGUGGUAAAAUGCUCUGAUCUUUCGAUGACCACCUGUGGCGAAGGCGGUCUACCAGAACACGUCCGACGGUGAGGGAUGAAAGCUGGGGGAGCAAACCGGAUUAGAUACCCGGGUAGUCCCAGCCGUAAACUAUGCAAACUCAGUGAUGCAUUGGCUUGUGGCCAAUGCAGUGUUGCAGGGAAGCCGUUAAGUCUGCCGCCUGGGAAGUACGUACGCAAGUAUGAAACUUAAAGGAAUUGGCGGGGGAGCACCACAAGGGGUGAAGCCUGCGGUCAAU
rnacentral:rRNA from 1 species